UGUGCGUUUUUCUAUUUAAAGAUCAGACAGGGCUUACACGCAGACACCAUUCAAGCCUGUAGCUUCUAAGAACUGGGUGCUAAAUCCGGUCUCUUCGGCCCUCACUUUCCAUCAACACAGGAGAUGUUCUUGUUGACAACCGAGGGUUCUUUUUUCCACUGCCAGCUGCACAGGAAGGAGCGGCAAUCGGGGAGCUGCCUGCCCCCCUCCCCCCGGGCUGGGCUCCGGAGGGGUCAACAUCACCAACUCCCUCUCUGCAUCCAUGCCAGGGUGAGAGGAGACGGCGAUGCUCACCCACCGUUCUUAGAAUCCCAUUUGAAACCAGCUGUGCUGAGUGGCAGUCCCAAGCCAAUAGGGGCGUCGGAAGAUGGACACGGGACACACCUGCAGGACCAGUCCACCUGAAGCCAGCUGGGAGAUGAGUCUGCUGACAUCAUCCUCUUGAAAUCUUGGUGGAGGGACAAAACACCCCCACGCUGAGUGCCCAUUUUCAGAGGAUUAAGGACUAGUCAGUCAGAAAGCCAGGCAGCCUGUAGCCAGAGCUCUGCCCACUGGGGGACACGUGAGCGGCUCUAAAUUUCCUCCUUUCCUUGGGGCGACCACGCUCCAGGAAAGCAGCCUAUUCGUGCUCUAGCUAUCACAGGCAAAACUGGAAGUGCAGCGCCACACCGGCCCUCCGGCCCCCAGAGGAAGACCGGAGCUGGGCUACUCAGGAGAGGAGCUGGGCAUCCUAACUCUGCUCCAGCAGGCAGUGCUCAGACAGGACAGGACAGGCCUCUCCCUGCAGCUCUCCCUCUACCCCAGCUUUUCGAAGAGAAAGCAAACAGACCCUUGACCAGAUGGAGCCUUCCUCGCUAAUAAACCUAGCCUAAGGCUGAGACACGUUCAAGAAGAAGCAGAAAAUUACCUUUCAGGAAGCCAACGUGAGGGUCUCUCCAUGUAGCCCUGGCUGGCCUAGAACUCUUGUCUCUGCCUGCUGAGUGCUAGGAUUCAAGUCUGGUGCCACCACACAGGACUCUCAGCUGCAAGGUGAAGGUGCCUAGGAGCCUCAGGCAGCAGCCACCAGUACAGGGUGCGGCAGAGAAGCGAGUGGGGGCCAGGAAGGUUCUGGAACACACAUCCCACCAAGGAGCAGAGCCUGCCGAGGCCAGGGCAACGGCAGGGUGGGCCUGCAGCCAGGCCCACAACCUUGGUGGCAAUUUGCCUCUCACCUUUUCCACGGCCUGCCUAGCUAUUUAUAGCCAUCCUCUCUAUCUGAAAACUACUUUGACCAUUUUUUUCUGAGCUGGACGGACUUGUAAACUGAAGUCAGGAGGACCCCACCUUCUUCGUAUCCAGGAGGCUUCACGAUGUGGCCAUACUUGGUCUGCCUGUACCCUUGCCUUGUGAUGGGUUCCCAGGGCCUGUGAGAGUCACAGGUGACUCAUCCUCCGCCAGGUGUGUGGUGCUCACAGGCAGACCUCAACUUGAGGUGCUAGAAGAUGGGGAUCCUAUAAAGCCCAGGUCACCUCAGGGUUACUCUCUGCUCUAGGAGGAAUGAGCAUACUGUGACAGUGGCUGAACAGCUGUACCUUUAAAUGAUCUGGCCCACAGAUAUGAAAAACAUUCGCACUCUGUGGCUGUUUGCAUCUCUGGUUAUUUUUAGGGUGAACCCAGUUGCCUCCCCUUGGAACCGGAUGAAGCCCCAGAGGAGGCACGUAGUCCUUUUUCCCAGAUGGGGGGUCCUGCUCCUGUUUCCCUGGGAAUGAAGUCCUGAACAUGAGCUGUCUGGGGGAACCGCCCCCCAGCAUUACACAAUGCACUCCGCUCGGGCUCACUUGAGGGACCUGUGUACCAGGAACAGCUUUGCUACUGUUGUGACGAUCUGCUGCUGACAUCGGGCCACCCACCCGCACCCGGAGAGCCCCUGGCCACCCCCGGGGUCUGAAGGGAAGAAGCCGUGAUGCAAUCCCCUACCUCCACCCAUCAGCCCCAGCCGAUGGGAAUGUCUGGCUGGCGUAUUUCUAGAACAAGCAGCAAUUAGAGGCGAUUUUCUCUCCUGCCCCCCCUCCCCAAAACAGAAAUAAAUCAGUGCUACCAAUCUCCCA